GUGACAUUGAAAUGAUCUUUCUGCUUCUCUCCAGAUGCAGCCCUUGAGUCUACUUUGCUGUUACAGUUUGUCUGUGUUCACUAACAUUUAAUAUUGUGUGGAAAUGCCAAAAAGGGUUUUACAUGGCGGAUGGUGUCUUAUUUACGAGGAAAAUUCAGCUUGAAUCUCAUCGAUCCAAAACACCAAUACCACGCCAAGUUUCUCCGACGACGAUUUGGACGCUCAGUCUCUUAAUGUGGUCGCCCGCCCGAGCUGCUGCAGUUCCAGAAUCAUCCACCACGUGUCGCUACAGGACAACGAACAGCCAAUGUGUGAGAAGGGCAGGUGGUGGCCAGUUUGCGGCAGUGGGACUCCAUGAUGGCGAAGGAAAACCUCUCCUGUGCAGGGGAAACAUGCCGAAGAAAAUCGAACAUUAAUGCAGUGUUUCUACCACACACCUCAGUACCAGCAUAUGCAGUGGAAUGAUGUUUUAAGGCAGCGGAAUAUCCAUCGGCUCAUCAAUUCUAAAAAGGUGCCGAUUGAUCGAUUGUGUUCCACUGGCCGGCGAGACAUAAAUUGAGCAGGGCACAGGUUGGACCAGCGCAGAUCCUCUCGUAUGUUCAGGGCUUGGCCCUUGUGGACCGGCGAACCCCCUUCGACUCAUGCUCAUGCUCAUAAAAGGCCCGGCCGGCUUGGGCAGUUGGAAUACUGGGGGGCCCGUUUUACCGGGACCGGGGCUUUGCCACCAAUGCCAGUCAACGUCCGAGGAUCUUUGAAGGAGGAAACAAGUCCGUCCGUAACUGGUUGACGGCCACGGCCGAGAAAAUCCACUUUAUAGACUCAAAGGCAACGGGCCAUCUUCACUUGGAUUCCCACUCCUUCUUUUAGAUACAUUUCAUAUUUUUUUUUUGGAGGGGAAAAAAAUUGAGAAAAAAGACAAGUCAGUUAUUGUUUUUAGUAGAAAUUUGUACUAUUAUUUCCUGUUUUAAAAAAGGGUGUAUGUUUUUGAAAAAAGUAAUAUUAUUCAAGAAUGCAAUUGGAUAUUACCCCCCCCCCAAAAAAAGUGAAAAUUGAUUCUCAUAAGAUUAGAUUAGAUUAGAUUAGCAUUUUAUUUUGCAAAAUAAUAUGACUAUUUCCUCCCAGAAUUGACUAUCUAGAAAAAAACAGAUUUAAUUCUUAUCAGUAGCACUUUGAUCUCAUAAGAUUCUGACUUUUUAGCACAAAAAAAAAUAAAUACCACUUUGUUCUCAGAAGAUUAACACUAUUCUUGAAAAAUAAAGACUAAAAAUGAUGACUUUAUUCAAGUAAUAUUUACACUUUGAAAACCUAUUACAGCUUUGUGUCAAAAAAUAAGACUUCAAUCUGGAAAAAUACCACGUUCUUCUCGUAAAUUUGACUUGUUUUUGGAGUAACUAUGGCCCAGGUUUUUAAAAAUUGCAUA